UACGUAGGGAGCAAGCGUUGUCCGGAAUCACUGGGCGUAAAGGGUGCGUAGGCGGGUCUUUUAAGUCAGGGGUGAAAUCCUGGAGCUCAACUCCAGAACUGCCUUUGAUACUGAAGAUCUUGAGUUCGGGAGAGGUGAGUGGAACUGCGAGUGUAGAGGUGAAAUUCGUAGAUAUUCGCAAGAACACCGGUGGCGAAGGCGGCUCUCUGGACCACAACUGACGCUGAGGCGCGAAAGCUAGGGGAGCAAACAGGG
rnacentral:rRNA from 1 species